rnacentral:ncRNA from 1 species
UGUUGGAGAUGCUCUUAGCCAUGGACAGAAGUCACAGGACAGUACGCUGUAUUGUACGCGUUUCCACUACAUGUUUACCCGACAAAACAUGCUAGGCCACUACGCCCACCAUUAAAGAACUGUGAAAGGAAAACAAAGGGAAAAAAUAUUGAUGUUUUCAUUAGUCAAGAAUAAAAGUUGGGAGCUCGAAGACAAUCAAGAUACCGUCCUAGUCUAAAUCAUAAACGAUGUUGACUAGGGGUUGGCGAAUGUUGCUUGUAGGACUUCGUCGGCACCUUAUGAGAAACCAAAGUCUUUGGGUUCUG